rnacentral:rRNA from 1 species
GAUGAACGCUGGCGGCGUGCCUAAUACAUGCAAGUCGAGCGAACGGACGAGAAGCUUGCUUCUCUGAUGUUAGCGGCGGACGGGUGAGUAACACGUGGAUAACCUACCUAUAAGACUGGGAUAAAUUCGGGAAACCGGAGCUAAUACCGGAUAAUAUUUUGAACCGCAUGGUUCAAAAGUGAAAGACGGUCUUGCUGUCACUUAUAGAUGGAUCCGCGCUGCAUUAGCUAGUUGGUAAGGUAACGGCUUACCAAGGCAACGAUGCAUAGCCGACCUGAGAGGGUGAUCGGCCACACUGGAACUGAGACACGGUCCAGACUCCUACGGGAGGCAGCAGUAGGGAAUCUUCCGCAAUGGGCGAAAGCCUGACGGAGCAACGCCGCGUGAGUGAUGAAGGUCUUCGGAUCGUAAAACUCUGUUAUUAGGGAAGAACAUAUGUGUAAGUAACUGUGCACAUCUUGACGUUACCUAAUCAGAAAGCCACGGCUAACUACGUG